CGUUCUGCCCUUCCCCAGGCCGUUUCCGUUUCCGCCGCCCCGACUCCCUGCGCUCCCUGCUGAGCCGCGGCCUGGCGCCGUUGCUUUACGCGGACGACAGGGGGCGCCCGACCUCCUCGUACCCCAUGAAUCCCAACGGCUCCCCCGGCGCGGUGGCGGCGCUUUGCUCCCCUUGCGGGCGGCAUUUGGCGCUGAUGCCCCACCCCGAGCGGGGGGUGCUGAGGUGGCAGUGGCCCCAUUGGCCCCAUAAGUGGGGCGGGGAGUGGGGGGCGGCCGUGGGGCCGCGGUGGGGCGGAGAAAAGGGGGUGGCGCAGGGGGGGGCGGCGCCGUGGAUGAAGAUGUUCCUCAAUGCCAGGGAGUGGUGCGACGGCCCCAUAGAUUGACCCACAGAUGGACCCAUAGAUUGACCCAUAGAUGGACCCACAGACUGACCCACAGAUGGACCCAUAGAUUGACCCAUAGAUGGACCCAUAGAUGGACCCAUAGAUUGACCUUGGCCCCAUAGAUUGACCCACGGAUAGACCUCGGACCCAUAGGUGGACCCAUAGAUUGACCCACAGAUGGACCCACAGAUGGACUCCAUAGAUUGACCCAUAGAUGGACCCAUAGAUGGACCCACAGAUGGACCCACAGAUGGACCCAUAGAUGGACCCAUAGGUGGACCUUGUCCCCAUAGAUUGACCCAUAGAUUGCCCUAUAGAUGGCCCCAUAGAGGGACCCAUAGAUGGGCCUUGGAGCCAUAGAUUGCCCCAUAGAGGGACCUCAGACCUGUAGAUUGACCUCAGCCCCAUGGAUUGCCCCAUAGAUGGACCCCAACCCCAUAGAUCACCCCAUAGAUUGACCCCAGCCCCAUAGAUUGCCCCAUAGAGGGACCUCAGACCUGUAGAUGGAGCUCAGCCCCAUGGAUUGACCUAUAGAUGGACCCCAGCCCCAUAGAUCGCCCCAUAGAGGGACCCCAGCCCCAUAGAUCGCCCCAUAAAGGGACCCCAGCCCCAUAGAUGGCCUCACAACCCCAUCGCUGGACCCAUAUAGGGUGACCCACAGCCCCACAGCUGGCCCCAUAGAUGGACCUCAUGUGCAUAGAUUGCCCCAUAGCUGCCCCAUAAGUUGGCCCCAUAGAGGACCCCAUUGUGCCGCUGUGUCCCCACCGGGCGCCAUUUUGGGGUAAAAGAACCCGUAUUUAAUAAAGAGGAGAUUGCGUCUUU